UGGGGAAUAUUGCACAAUGGGCGCAAGCCUGAUGCAGCCAUGCCGCGUGUGUGAAGAAGGCCUUCGGGUUGUAAAGCACCUUCAGCGGGGAGGAAGGCGUUAAGGUUAAUAACCUUGGCGAUUGACGUUACCCGCAGAAGAAGCACCGGCUAACUCCGUGCCAGCAGCCGCGGUAAUACGGAGGGUGCAAGCGUUAAUCGGAAUUACUGGGCGUAAAGCGCACGCAGGCGGUCUGUCAAGUCGGAUGUGAAAUCCCCGGGCUCAACCUGGGAACUGCAUUCGAAACUGGCAGGCUAGAGUCUUGUAGAGGGGGGUAGAAUUCCAGGUGUAGCGGUGAAAUGCGUAGAGAUCUGGAGGAAUACCGGUGGCGAAGGCGGCCCCCUGGACGAAGACUGACGCUCAGGUGCGAAAGCGUGGGGAGCAAACAGG
rnacentral:rRNA from 1 species